GAUAUCUAAAUUUCGCAACACUAUACAAUCCGUCGACAAACUCUCUGUCAUCUACAUUAACCUCCUUUAACCUAAAUCUCACCAUAUAUAUGAAAAAAAACUAACCAUUCAAUUCCUCUAAUUUGGAAGAUGAAGCUUUGUAGUUGGAGAACUAUAUCGCACUAACCUAUAUUAAAAAAAUAAAAAAAAUUAUAAUUGUAAUAUAUAUCGAAGUCAGAACCU
rnacentral:lncRNA from 1 species